UGAUUACGUCCCUGCCCUUUGUACACACCGCCCGUCGCUACUACCGAUUGAAUGGCUUAGUGAGGCCCUCGGAUUGGUGUUCGGAGACUGGCAACAGUUACCGUUCGUUGAGAAGUUGGUCAAACUUGGUCAUUUAGAGGAAGUAAAAGUCGUAACAAGG
rnacentral:rRNA from 1 species